GACGAACGCUGGCGGCGUGCUUAACACAUGCAAGUCGAACGGUGAAGCGCCUUCCUUUUUGGUGGGUGUGGAUGAGUGGCGAACGGGUGAGUAACACGUGAGUAACCUGCCCCCUUCUCCUGGAUAACCGCAUGAAAGUGUGGCUAAUACGGGAUAUUCUGGGUCUGUCGCAUGAUGGGUCUGGGAAAGAUAUUGUUUCGGUGGGGGAUGGGCUCGCGGCCUAUCAGCUUGUUGGUGGGGUGAUGGCCUACCAAGGCGGUGACGGGUAGCCGGCCUGAGAGGGUGGACGGUCACACUGGGACUGAGACACGGCCCAGACUCCUACGGGAGGCAGCAGUGGGGAAUAUUGCACAAUGGGCGCAAGCCUGAUGCAGCGACGCCGCGGGAGGGAUGGAGGCCUUCGGGUUGUGAACCUCUUUCGCCAGUGAAGCAGGCCUGCCUCGUUUGUGGGUGGGUUGACGGUAGCUGGAUAAGAAGCGCCGGCUAACUACGUG
rnacentral:rRNA from 1 species